CUUAUCCAGAGUCAGAGUGAGCGAGAGCAGGAAGCAAACGUCUGGAAACAGGACCUGUUUAAAACAUUGUUUCUGAACAAAGCUGGUGAGGCUUCUCAGAAGGGGAGAAAGCCAGUUCUAAUCGGGAUCUUUCUGAAAUCUAAUCAUUGGAGCUAAAGUGAUGGCUUCGAGGUUAAAAGUGAGUACUGCUCUUGCAGAGGACCUGAGUUUGGUUGCCAGCACCCACA